rfam:Schistosoma curassoni strain Dakar, Senegal genome assembly, scaffold: SCTD_scaffold0002063
ACCCGACCGAAGAGUCCUAAAUAGGACGAAACGCGCAUCCUGAAU